UACGUAGGGGGCAAGCGUUGUCCGGAAUCAUUGGGCGUAAAGAGCGUGUAGGCGGCCCGGUAAGUCCGCUGUGAAAGCCCCGGGCUCAACCUGGGAAUGGCAAUGGAACUGGCGGGCUAGAGUGUGGCAGAGGGGGGUGGAAUCCGCGUGUAGCAGUGAAAUGCGUAGAGAUGCGGAGGAACACCGAUGGCGAAGGCAGCCCCUGGCUGACACUGACGCUCAGGCACGAAAGCGUGGGGAGCAAACAGG
rnacentral:rRNA from 1 species